rnacentral:rRNA from 1 species
AUUGAACGCUGGCGGCAUGCCUUACACAUGCAAGUCGAGCGGUAACAGGUCUUCGGAUGCUGACGAGUGGCGAACGGGUGAGUAAUACAUCGGAACGUGCCUAGUAGUGGGGGAUAACUACUCGAAAGAGUGGCUAAUACCGCAUGAGAUCUACGGAUGAAAGCAGGGGAUCGCAAGACCUUGUGCUACUAGAGCGGCCGAUGGCAGAUUAGGUAGUUGGUGGGAUAAAAGCUUACCAAGCCGACGAUCUGUAGCUGGUCUGAGAGGACGAUCAGCCACACUGGGACUGAGAAACGGCCCAGACUCCUGCGGGAGGCAGCAGUGGGGAAUUUUGGACAAUGGGCGCAAGCCUGAUCCAGCAAUGCCGCGUGCAGGAUGAAGGCCUUCGGGUUGUAAACUGCUUUUGUACGGAACGAAAAGCCCCGGGUUAAUACCCUGGGGUCAUGACGGUACCGUAAGAAUAAGCACCGGCUAACUACGUGCCAGCCGCCGCGGUAA